CCUACGGGUGGCAGCAGUGAGGAAUAUUGGUCAAUGGUCGGGAGACUGAACCAGCCAAGCCGCGUGAGGGAUGAAGGUACAGAGUAUCGUAAACCUCUUUUGUCAGGGAACAAAGGCGGGGACGUGUCCCCGGAUGAGUGUACCCGAAGAAAAAGCAUCGGCUAACUCCGUGCCAGCAGCCGCGGUAAUACGGAGGAUGCGAGGUUUAUCCGGAUUUAUUGGGGUUAAAGGGUGCGCAGGCGGUCUGUUAAGUCAGCGGGAAAAGCCCGGGGUUAAACCCCGGCCCGCCGUUGAAACUGGCAGUCUCGAGUUGGAGAGAAGUAUGCGGAAUGCGCGGUGUAGCGGUGAAAUGCAUAGAUAGCGCGCAGAACUCCGAUUGCGAAGGCAGCAUGCCGGCUCCACACUGACGCUGAGGCACGAAAGCGUGGGUAUCGAACAGGAUUAGAUACCCGAGUAGGC
rnacentral:rRNA from 1 species